ensembl:misc_RNA Metazoa_SRP Metazoan signal recognition particle RNA
ACCAGGCUUGACUGUGCAUGCCUUUAAUCCCUGCUACUGGGGAGGCCAUCACUGGUGGAUUGCUUGGGCUCAGGAGUUCUGAGUUACACUGUACCAAGCCAAUCUGGUGUCUACACUGAGUCCCGUACCAAUAUGGUAAGUCCCUGAGAGUGGGGAGCUACCAGGCUGCCUAAGAAGAGACAAACUAGCUCAGUUCAGAAAUGGAACUGGUCAAACCUUUUAUGAUGAUUAAUAAUGAGAUCAGACUUGUGAGUGGCCUCUGCAUUUCCUGCCUGGGUAAGUCAAGAAGACACAGUCU